UGAAUAGUAUUCCCUUGAUGUGGAUUUGUCUGAUGUUUUCUUAUGAUUAUAAUGAGCAUGCAUUUUGGCAGGAAUACCACAGAGGUGUGUCCGUAAUGCAUCAUGCAUUUCAUGAUGUUGUAUGUUUGCAAGGUGAUGUUGACCAUGACCACUUGGUUAAGUGGUUUCUUUUGGGUUUCUCCACUGUAGAGUUACUGUCUUUUCCUUGUUGAUAAGUAUCUUGGGGAGAUACUUUGAAACUAUAUAGAUUUCUCGAACAUACCUAAUAAUUUUAGCUGCUUGGUUACAAUAAUUAAUUUCUGAAGUAUUUGCCUGAUUUCUUCUACAUUUAUUAAUUGGACUUCUGUAAGGAAGAGCUGUCCCUCUCCCCACUAAUUUAUUUUAUUAUAAUGGAUUCAUGAUUUUUUUUUUUCCCUUUGGGUUAUAAUCUAGUACUAUCAUUCUGUUUCUGAAGUUAUUCCAGCUUUGGUCAUUAAGAGCUCCUUCAGGUAGAUGCCGAUGUUUCUUGGAAAAGCUCCUUCCCACUUUUUAAGCAUUUCUUUACUUUCUGGCAAGAUGUUAAACACUGAUACUCAUUCCAGGUACUGGAACAACCACCUCUCUAAGAUUCCUAGAUCCAUGUAUUGGAGAAUGCCAUAUAGAAACCAAGGUAAGUGCACUUUAUUUGCUCAUUGAUACUAGAGUAUCACUGCUCUUUGGCCCUCUCUGCAGCCAAAGCUAGGAAAUAAAUGUAGGUAUGUUCACUCACUGGCUUCCCAGGUGGCUCAGUGGUAAAUAAUCUGCCUGUGAAUGCAGGAGUUGUGGGUUGCAUCCCUGGGUGGGGAAGAUCCCCUGGAAGAGGAAAUGGCAACCCAGUCCAGUAUUCUUGCCAGGAUAAUCCCAUGGACAGAGGAGCCUCACAGGCUACAGUCCAUGGGGUUGCGCAGAGGUGGACACGACUGAGCACUCAUGUAUGCUCUUGAAAACAGACAAAUCCAUAUUUUGCAGCUAGUUAUCUAAACAUGUAUGUGGAAAAACAUGAGUUUUAUAGUAAUACUUUUAGAUUUCAGUUCAACUUCACAGGAUUCCUUUUAGCCUCUCUUUUCCUUAUUUGUAAAUUCUUUCUCCUCAGGUAAGAACCUGACUUUACUAUCUGCAAUCUUUUUUACUUACUUCGUCAAUUUUAGUGUACACAUUAGUUUUAGAACUGCCAGUCCAGGGACUUAGUUGGUCCAGUGUUAGGACUCUGUGUUUCCACUGCAGGGAGCACAGGUUUGAUCCCUGGUCUAGGAACUAAGAUCCUGCAUGACUCGAAGCCAAAAAAAAUUGCCAGUCCACACCUAAGUGAGAAACAUUUAUUGACC
ensembl:lncRNA